rnacentral:rRNA from 1 species
GGGUUGUGAGGUUAAGCGACUAAGCGUACACGGUGGAUGCCCUGGCAGUCAGAGGCGAUGAAGGACGUGCUAAUCUGCGAUAAGCGUCGGUAAGGUGAUAUGAACCGUUAUAACCGGCGAUUUCCGAAUGGGGAAACCCAGUGUGAUUCGUCACACUAUCAUUAACUGAAUCCAUAGGUUAAUGAGGCGAACCGGGGGAACUGAAACAUCUAAGUACCCCGAGGAAAAGAAAUCAACCGAGAUUCCCCCAGUAGCGGCGAGCGAACGGGGAGCAGCCCAGAGCCUGAAUCAGUGUGUGUGUUAGUGGAAGCGUCUGGAAAGGCGCGCGAUACAGGGUGACAGCCCCGUACACAAAAAUGCACAUGCUGUGAGCUCGAUGAGUAGGGCGGGACACGUGGUAUCCUGUCUGAAUAUGGGGGGACCAUCCUCCAAGGCUAAAUACUCCUGACUGACCGAUAGUGAACCAGUACCGUGAGGGAAAGGCGAAAAGAACCCCGGCGAGGGGAGUGAAAAAGAACCUGAAACCGUGUACGUACAAGCAGUGGGAGCACGCUUAGGCGUGUGACUGCGUACCUUUUGUAUAAUGGGUCAGCGACUUAUAUUCUGUAGCAAGGUUAACCGAAUAGGGGAGCCGAAGGGAAACCGAGUCUUAACUGGGCGUUAAGUUGCAGGGUAUAGACCCGAAACCCGGUGAUCUAGCCAUGGGCAGGUUGAAGGUUGGGUAACACUAACUGGAGGACCGAACCGACUAAUGUUGAAAAAUUAGCGGAUGACUUGUGGCUGGGGGUGAAAGGCCAAUCAAACCGGGAGAUAGCUGGUUCUCCCCGAAAGCUAUUUAGGUAGCGCCUCGUGAAUUCAUCUCCGGGGGUAGAGCACUGUUUCGGCAAGGGGGUCAUCCCGACUUACCAACCCGAUGCAAACUGCGAAUACCGGAGAAUGUUAUCACGGGAGACACACGGCGGGUGCUAACGUCCGUCGUGAAGAGGGAAACAACCCAGACCGCCAGCUAAGGUCCCAAAGUCAUGGUUAAGUGGGAAACGAUGUGGGAAGGCCCAGACAGCCAGGAUGUUGGCUUAGAAGCAGCCAUCAUUUAAAGAAAGCGUAAUAGCUCACUGGUCGAGUCGGCCUGCGCGGAAGAUGUAACGGGGCUAAACCAUGCACCGAAGCUGCGGCAGCGACGCUUAUGCGUUGUUGGGUAGGGGAGCGUUCUGUAAGCCUGUGAAGGUGUACUGUGAGGUAUGCUGGAGGUAUCAGAAGUGCGAAUGCUGACAUAAGUAACGAUAAAGCGGGUGAAAAGCCCGCUCGCCGGAAGACCAAGGGUUCCUGUCCAACGUUAAUCGGGGCAGGGUGAGUCGACCCCUAAGGCGAGGCCGAAAGGCGUAGUCGAUGGGAAACAGGUUAAUAUUCCUGUACUUGGUGUUACUGCGAAGGGGGGACGGAGAAGGCUAUGUUGGCCGGGCGACGGUUGUCCCGGUUUAAGCGUGUAGGCUGGUUUUCCAGGCAAAUCCGGAAAAUCAAGGCUGAGGCGUGAUGACGAGGCACUACGGUGCUGAAGCAACAAAUGCCCUGCUUCCAGGAAAAGCCUCUAAGCAUCAGGUAACAUCAAAUCGUACCCCAAACCGACACAGGUGGUCAGGUAGAGAAUACCAAGGCGCUUGAGAGAACUCGGGUGAAGGAACUAGGCAAAAUGGUGCCGUAACUUCGGGAGAAGGCACGCUGAUAUGUAGGUGAAGUCCCUCGCGGAUGGAGCUGAAAUCAGUCGAAGAUACCAGCUGGCUGCAACUGUUUAUUAAAAACACAGCACUGUGCAAACACGAAAGUGGACGUAUACGGUGUGACGCCUGCCCGGUGCCGGAAGGUUAAUUGAUGGGGUCAGCGCAAGCGAAGCUCUUGAUCGAAGCCCCGGUAAACGGCGGCCGUAACUAUAACGGUCCUAAGGUAGCGAAAUUCCUUGUCGGGUAAGUUCCGACCUGCACGAAUGGCGUAAUGAUGGCCAGGCUGUCUCCACCCGAGACUCAGUGAAAUUGAACUCGCUGUGAAGAUGCAGUGUACCCGCGGCAAGACGGAAAGACCCCGUGAACCUUUACUAUAGCUUGACACUGAACAUUGAGCCUUGAUGUGUAGGAUAGGUGGGAGGCUUUGAAGUGUGGACGCCAGUCUGCAUGGAGCCGACCUUGAAAUACCACCCUUUAAUGUUUGAUGUUCUAACGUUGACCCGUAAUCCGGGUUGCGGACAGUGUCUGGUGGGUAGUUUGACUGGGGCGGUCUCCUCCUAAAGAGUAACGGAGGAGCACGAAGGUUGGCUAAUCCUGGUCGGACAUCAGGAGGUUAGUGCAAUGGCAUAAGCCAGCUUGACUGCGAGCGUGACGGCGCGAGCAGGUGCGAAAGCAGGUCAUAGUGAUCCGGUGGUUCUGAAUGGAAGGGCCAUCGCUCAACGGAUAAAAGGUACUCCGGGGAUAACAGGCUGAUACCGCCCAAGAGUUCAUAUCGACGGCGGUGUUUGGCACCUCGAUGUCGGCUCAUCACAUCCUGGGGCUGAAGUAGGUCCCAAGGGUAUGGCUGUUCGCCAUUUAAAGUGGUACGCGAGCUGGGUUUAGAACGUCGUGAGACAGUUCGGUCCCUAUCUGCCGUGGGCGCUGGAGAAUUGAGGGGGGCUGCUCCUAGUACGAGAGGACCGGAGUGGACGCAUCACUGGUGUUCGGGUUGUCAUGCCAAUGGCACUGCCCGGUAGCUAAAUGCGGAAGAGAUAAGUGCUGAAAGCAUCUAAGCACGAAACUUGCCCCGAGAUGAGUUCUCCCUGACUCCUUGAGAGUCCUGAAGGAACGUUGAAGACGACGACGUUGAUAGGCCGGGUGUGUAAGCGCAGCGAUGCGUUGAGCUAACCGGUACUAAUGAACCGUGAGGCUUAACCUUACAACGCCGAAG